ACAAUGUCAGAAGCACCUGUGAGAGCACAGUGCCCCUCCAUCCCUGGGGACAGCACAGUCCUGGACACCCAGUGCCAAGGACACCGGUGAUGGAGGGGUACCUACAGCCAGGAGGGUGGGACUGCUAAUUGCAUGCAGCUUGCAGCACUGCAGGGAGAUGGGUGAGCAGCGCCGUGCUCCUCCUGCCGCACCUCCACUUCUCAUCCUCUCUUCCCAUGAGGAACACCUCACGCAGCACCAGCACAGACCAACGGCUUUGUGUUCUUCAGAGCCACCUGGGAGCCUGCCUGCCAGAAGGAGAAAUGGCACAAGAGGAAAUACAUCUUCACAGCCCUGAGAACAGAGAGCUUUGGAAUCCGCGUCCGUAAACACCACCACUGCGCACUGAGCAAACCCAGAGCAGGUUGUGCUCUGGAGAGUGUAACCCCACCUCCGCCGCUGCUUUUCUGAAUUAAAACACGGUGAGGG
rnacentral:lncRNA from 7 species